rnacentral:misc_RNA from 1 species
GUUUAAUACAUCUUUAACAGGGUAUCAGGAAAUAUUAACAGACCCUAGCUAUGCCGGACAGUUUGUCUUAAUGACAAAUCCUCAUAUUGGGAACACUGGUGUAAAUCCUGAUGAUGAAGAAUCAAGUCGCUGUUUUCUUGCUGGUUUAGUAAUUCGAAGCUUAAGCAUAUGUACUUCAAAUUGGCGAUGCAUAGAGUCACUUGAUGAUUACUUGGCUAAAAGGAACAUCAUGGCUAUAUAUGAUGUGGACACACGUGCAAUAACACGAAGGUUAAGACAAGAUGGAAGUCUUAUCGGUGUCUUAAGCACUGAAGAAUCUCAAACAGAUGAAACACUACUGGAAUUGGCACGCAAGUGGAAAAUCACUGGUGUUGAUUUGAUUAGCGGUGUCUCUUGCAAGGCACCGUAUGACUGGCAAGAGAAAACAGACACCGAAUGGGAAUUUAAUGAAGAAUCACAGAUUCCUGAAGAUUUUCAUGUUGUUGCAUAUGAUUUUG